CUCCGCGCGGCCGCUCGCCCGAGUGGUGUUGGCGAGAGCGUGGUGGCGGGUUGGGGGUGCGUCUCGUGCGGGGUCGCCUCACGGCAGCGGGCGGGAACCUCCGGGCGAGGCGUGAGGGGACUGAGGGGUGAAGGGUGAGGACUGAGGGUUGAGGGGGCUGAGGGCGGAAGGCUGAGUCCCUCCGCCUCUGAGGGCACCGCGUUAGACCCGCGGGGUGAGUCGCGGGAGGCGCCAGCCCCCGCCGGCACCGGGGAAAGAAAGGGUUAAAGGCCGGCAGUGUUUGGCCACCGCGGUACAGCCACGUCGUACAGCGCCCGCAGGGCGGCUGCUGAGUGAGCGACACGUCUACGCAGGGCUCUGAGACCGCGGCGCUGCCCACUCGGGUGGCACGGGGCUGGUCUUGGAAGGGAGGGAAGCCUUUGGAGGUGGCGCUGGGGGGCUGCACUUCGCUACUUAGGGUAAAUGCACACUUUUCAUUUUCUGCUGUUAGAAAGCGGAGUGAUUCGUAACAGAAGGCUGAUCUAGUAGGAUUACCCCUCGUGCUAUGAAAUGUAGCAGUGAUAGCACAUAGGUGGCUCUCGUAUACCUUUUUAAGUACAACUGAUGCUCGGUAGUGAGUUUACUCAGUAAUGUGAGGAGAAAGACUUCUUAAAGGUUUUAUUAUUUUCACGGAGAGAGAGGGUUUGUGUAGGUCGUCUCAAUAGGAUGACACGUAGAACACAAAGACCGGGGCAGAAUGUAGCCCUUCUGUGCCUCUCACUUUGUGUUCCCAAAGCAGCACUGACUGUCUCAUGGGAUGAUUCGGAAGAGCCACUCUAUGAAUAUGUAACUGGGCCAGGGAAUAUAAGCCUGGCUCAGCAACUCUCCCUGUGGCUGGAAUGUGGUACAAGAAGUACUUCGGACUUGAGAAACGCUGUUAUUCCAUGUAACUGCUUGGUGCUGAAGCAUCCCUGCCUUAUACCAGCCGUAGGAGUAAUUCACAAUCAUAUAACUCGCUUACAAAAGUUGGAAAACAAAUGUUUUCACCAGAAAACUGGGAAGACAGUGCAAGAAACUCAACCCAGUGGAAAAUAACAUGAUACUUGGCAUUUACGUAAAGCCUUGGGUUUUCAACAUCCUGUGUAAUGAUUAGGUGUUUAAUCUUCUGCCCUCUGAGCCGGUUCAGUAAUGACUACUUCUGUGAUGAAACAGGAUAAAGUUCUUCCCAGUUAAAGACCUGCAAUUAAACUACUACUACUAUUCUCCUUAUCCAAGUAGGCUCUAUUUAAUAUAUGUAUAAGUAAACGCUAUUAAGAAAGUGCUUUUAUCUCAACAAGUCGCAGCUUGAUUGUGGUUAACAAUAGUUUUUAUUACAGAAUCAUAACACGUUUGGAUUGUCUGUGCACAGCUAUGGUGCAGGUCAGAAAAAUAUUUCCUCCCCUCAUGAGUUUAAUUUAGAUUUUCCCCCAUCAUCUUCAUGUGUUCUCUUAAAUUCCUUUGUAUUUCAAAGACGGGUUCAGAAAACACAAACAAAUAGUAAGAGAUGUGAAAUACUUUUACCUGUCUUCCUACUAAGAUCUUAUCUCUAAAUUCAUACAUUCUUCACGUUUCUUUGAGAACAUGUGGUUUCCCACUGCAUGAAUGUGGUGGUGUGCCAAAUUGUGCUAAAUCCUGGCAGGAAUAAUUUCAGAAAUCAGGCAACUCUAAGCAUUCUAAGCUUCCUUUUUCUGUUCUGGAUCCUUUCUUAAGAGAAUAUAUUGGUACCUGAGCUUGGCUGGGACACCUUGACUUAGUUCUGUGAGCCUUGGAUCUAGUACAGCAAAACAGUGGCUAUUUUUGAUCCCGACAUAAUAGCUGGAAACCAAGAAGAGCUCCAGGAACCUGCCCUAGGGAAAUUAAGUCAUUUAAAAGAUCAAAUUUAGAAGAAUUGUACUUGAAAGAAUUUAAACACUAGAAAAUAGACAAAUAUAUUAGAAACAGUGUAAUACCAAUACUAAGUAUACCUGGAUUAGACCAUUUCCAAACCCAUCAUCCUGAUCAGGGGUAGACAAGUUUCAACUUCAGUCAAAUUUUGUUGCUAUGCUGUUUAGUUUCGCCUGCCAAAGAAAUACCAGAAAACAGUUUCUCCAUUAUGACCAGUGUUUCUUUCUCACCUGUCUCUGGUUUGCCAAGACAAAAGUCACACAACUGAUAAAGGGUCUACAGAAGUCUCUUAGUGUUAUUGUGCUGCUUCUGCUGUUCUUUAUGUGCACUUCUUAGUGGUUCUUCAGGUAUGAACAGGCCUUAUUUUGAUCUAGCCAGCUGUCAUAGAUCCUGAUCCAUGAUUGGGAAGCCCACAUAUAGCUAAUGUACAUAAUUGUGAGUGUCAGUGGGGUAAUUACAGCAAUAUGAUUAAAGGAGUGAAAGGAAAAUCAGACACUGUGGGUUACCUGUGGGAAGAAUAUCUCAGAAUUUUCCAAAUUCUGAAAUCAAUGCACACCUCAUUCAUACAGAUUUGAUCUGAAGAGCAAACAAAGUAGUAAUAAUGUUUACAUAUCACAGUUUCCCAUAAAGAGCUUGGUAAGCCCUGGAAAAACACGUACGAAAGAAUAUUACCAAGUUUCUAAUUACAGAUGUUAUGGUUUUGGUUGUUUCUGAGUAAUUAUUUAGUUUUAUAGGGUUUUUUUACCUGAGAAAAUUUGAAGAAUACCUUGAAAAUUAAUAGCUCAUCACUAUAGUCAUAUGCAAUUUCAUCUUUUUUACUUCAUCUUUUGGAUAACUUUUCCAUUAGGAGAUGAAUGCCUCAACUCAAAGUUAUAUUGUUCACUUUUUAUUUUCAAACAUUGCUUAUUGCAGGCUUUGAAAAGAAGACAACUCAGGGAAAAGCACAAUGAGAGCACAGCUUUACAAGCAGAAAUCUAACUCUGACACAAACCUCAUGGCUGAGGCUUAUUUUCUAUGGAUUUUGAAGCUGAAGAAACAUCUCUUAUCGCACAAGGACGGGCUACAUUCAGUAUAGAUUAGGAGGUGGACUGUGUGUCAAGGAAUGUAGGGAUUUCUGAGUAAAUUUGAAAUAACAGAACAGUCAAUCCACUCCAUUGAUUUUGGGUAUUUUUAAACCCAGCUUAAUGUAUGGGAUGCACUGAUGAUUGUGUUUUAAGAUGAUGCAGCUUGGAAAUGCUUACUGAUGAAGUCAGUGCAGUGCUUGAUGUCUUAUUUCAAAAUAGUAUCUGCCUGUAUUCCUCUACACAUAUUUAUUUCAUAUUUAUUUUAAAUGCUACAAUUUUUUUUAAUGUCACGUCACAGGGUCUUUUAAUGAAGGGCUGCUGAAUUAUUGAGAAAUUUCAUUCAGAAUUCAAAAUAUAGUAUGAACAGUCAUCUUGCAAAAUUUAUGUUGACCCACUGUGCUAGUUUUGGCUAGGGUAGAGUUAAUAUUCACAGUGGCUGGUAUGGGGCUCGAUUUUUCAUUGGUACAAAGUCUGCUGUUUUUUCUUAGUCUUUAGAAACAGUGUGAUGUCUGAAGUGCUUGGUCAUAAUGUCAUAGAAGUAGAUUCAGCUUGUCUCUAACAUAACAGUGUGAUUUUGUUCAUCCCUUGUAAAGUUCUCUGUCUAAGGGAGUGUUUCACAGAGAAGUCUCUAGUCCACACUGGGACCAGCAGGAAUCUCCGAGCAUCUGUCAAGCGCUGACUUGUAUGCUAGAGAUACAUCUUCAAAACCCAUAUGCCAAUGCAUUUGCACAGGCAGAUUUUUAACAAAACAGCUUGUUUGGGAUAUUUUUAGCUGUAUGUGUGUGGCUUCGUUUUCAAUGGUGACUUGAGAACUGCAGUAAUUAGACUGUAGUGAAACAGCAGUGCAGGUAUCCAGGCAGGCCUUUGGGCAUAAUAAUUUGAAGUCCUUAAACCAACUGCAAAUAAUUUUAGUAUUUCCAACCCAUUAUUCCAACUCAGUCCUUGACCAUACAGGUACGCCCCUGUGCAUACUGGGCAGAGUUGUACUGUGUGUAUUUUACUACAACACUGGCAAAACAAGCACUUGAGUAACCACAUUAUAUUUAUCUGUGCAGUUAGUAUAGUUAAAUUCCAUUAAGUCAGUGAGAGCUUUUCCAGUGGUUUUAAUUUCACAAAUUUAAUAAUAGUAGUAACCUUGUAUUGGUUUUAAAAAAAGCUAGGUUUGUUUGUUUGCUUCCCCCAUAGGAAACAUCACUAACAUAGAUAGUUUUAGUAUUAAAACAAUAUUGAUUUAGCCCAAUUUCAGUGGAUGCUUUUUUUUUUAAUUUAAACUCUCUUGGGAUUAUCUUUAUGAAAUGCUGUUGUGUUUACAUGUACAUAUUGUUUUGCAACAUGAUAUCACUUAUGUAAAAAUUCCUUUGGUAUUUUCCUUGGUUCACCACACUCAUCAUCUUCUAGGUUGUCCACAGGUGUCUGCCUCAGCAGCUGUUCUCACUGUGUUAGUGUUGAUAUACAGUUGUCAACUGCAUUAACUGUACAUUAAAGAUCACAAAGAGAAGUUGGUCACAGGUCCAAGUUCCUGUAUCUUUUUGUCCUGCUUACCUGCCUUUCCAUCUCAGUUCCAUUAAGUCUAUGAGGUAUUUUUUAUUCCAUUUAGUCUUAAAUCACAAUAUUUUUAUGGACUGUUCCACACUACUCUUCAGAGAGACGGCCAACAAAUCCCUGUUUUGACAAGCCAGUGAUUCAUAGUAGCUGACCAGAGGAGUAGAUCUGCUUCUGGGUUUGAUAACAUGCCCCAGUUUUUGGGUUCAUUUAAAAAAUGGCCACUAGCUAUCCUAGGAGAUUUAAGCAACAAAUUCACAGAUGUCCCCUGCAGGAUCCAAGCGAAGGAACCAAUGUUUCAAGCCAAUAUACAGUUUUUAGCCUUAUCUGUUACAGUGUUGGCUUUUCCUAGAGAGAUUGGCUUCUGUAAAGGUCAAAAACCAUUUAGGAAGCUUACGCAGAAGUUUAUUACCGCUCUUCCAUCCCAAAGUCCACCUAAUUAUCGAGGGGGAGAAUGGUAAAUACGCAGCCAAGUGUAAAUGUGUCAUAGUAGUGACCUAUGUAUUUAAAUAGGCACCAUUCAUACCAUUAGAUGCCUUUUCUUUAGUGUGUUGUCAUAAUCUGUAGAACAGCAUCGUUUGCACAUAACUGGAUACAGAUUGCGAUACAGCUGUCGUGACUUGGAUUACCGAUUUUAGACCUCUUCAUUGGACAAAGUUUGUCAGGAUUCAAUGUCGCCAAAGAUCAAUCUGUCCUUUUUUGCGGGUACUCUGAGGAUGGAAGGGCCAGUUAGGAGGCUGAGCAAAGCCGUUGCUACAGAUAGCAAAGAAAUGCAUCUCACUCCCAAUGACAUUGCUGUGAAGAUGCAGAAGAGGAACACCAAAUUCCAAGACUUGCUGCAGGCAUGAAUGCUCCCAGAAGUGUGAGUCAGCUCAAAACAACUCCUAGGUAUGCAGCUGCUGUGUCAUGUUACAGAUCUGUGACGUUUCAUUCUGAAGCUGAAUUGUCAUGACAGUAGUUAUGAGAGGUGAAGAUUGUAAACCAGAACAUUGCAGUGUAAACCCAGUGAUUUUUGAGAUUUCCUAAGUCAAAGGGCUGAAUCCAUCAUGUAUGAAAACAAAUGGAGCUGGGAAUUUGGAGCAGACCUGGCAAAAGGGUAUGAUUGUGGCUCGGAAUAAACUAAAAGAGGGAUGAUUCUUCUCAAGGUAAGAGCGUACUUGUACCUCCAUACCAGGAAAUAAGUUAAAGUAGAAAAGGGUAUCCUGAAGUAGAUGCAGUCAUAUGAACACAAGAAUUCUUUUUAAAAGUGUAGCACAUACUGGGGACUGUAAAUCAGCUUUGUUAUGGUAUGACUACAUCUAUACCACUGGUGCUUAACAAAGUUAGUAAAAAUGUUCUUCUAACUGACAGAGUGAUGCUAAUAAAACUUUUAUGUGUACAAGACCCCUAAAAAUUGGAAUAAUCAAUAAAUAAUAUACACGACUAGUGUUAACAUUGCACACCCCAAAUUCAGCAAGAAUUCCUAUUACGCAAGUCUGAGUUUGUAGAGCUGUAAUUCUACUAAGCUAGCACUGUGGGAGAAUGCGGAAGUUACUUUUUAGAAGUUGAAGUGCCAUUUUAUUUCUCUUGAUACAUUUUGGGGAACUUUCCAAAAUCAGUCUUGGCACAGCUGAAGCAUCUUUAACAUUCUUCUACUACUGUUUCUUCUACCGCUGUCACCUUUUAAAAGCUUAUGUUUUUAGCAUUCUUCUACCACUAUCACUCUUAAAAGGUUAUGUGUGUUCUCCAAAUGGGACCAGAUUGUACUGAAAGACUGUUAUUUUUAAUACAGUUUCCUGUGGAGGAGUAACUCCUGGCAACACACCACUAUUCAAUUCAUACAAAGCACUCACAUCAUUUACUCCAGAGACAGGCUUGGGCUCACAACCAUUCCAAUGUAAUCUCUACUAGCAGUGCUAUUUUAACUGCAAUCACAUUACAUUAUAGGCAAGUACUAAAGGCAUACAAGAAGAGAACUUAAAACAUCCUUUGGGGUUGAAUUUUGCAAAAAGUGAUGCUUCAUAAAAGCUCGUCAACAUAAACUACUUUCAAGCGAAAGUUUAUUAAAUAUACUAAAUUAAGGUCUGAUGAUACAUAGCAAUUUGCUACAUAUGGGGAUGCUUAAAGCAAAAUGUGAUUUAUGUAUUUGACUUCUACCUGCAAGAGAAACAUCUGCCGUCCAGUGUGUGAUUUCAGUGCACUUGGGAUGGAAUGAGUCCAGCUACCUAGCGGCAGACAUUAUAGAGGCACUUUCUUAUGCUGUUAUGGGUCUCAGAAACUCAGGACUGACCAAAAAUCCUAAAGCAAAGAAACUACUGAAGACUAUUUAUAUGGCGGCCCCACAUACUCCGAGGAGGAUCCAAUCUCAUUGAAUGAUAAGACAUUGACAACUUAUUUUUCUGUUUUGGACAUGGACAAUGUGGAAGGGAAUAGUUAGUGGGGUGUGAUUGAGGAAUAUACCAAGGGAUCUUUGGUAUGCAGAGACUUGAUUUCUCAGGAAUGGAUGUAGUCCUUUGUUUCUCCACCUUCCUGCUUCACUUCCUCCCAACAUCCCUAUUGCUGUCCAGCCUUCUGUCAAAGAAAUACUCUGGCUGUAAGUUGCACUGUAGAAGAAUUUAUUAAAAACUAUUUCUCUUGCCAUUGUAA